UUUACUAGAGUCUAAGAUAUACAAAGAGACGUCGGCAAGUGACGACGUUGCGGGCCUAUUGUUACGUAAAUGGCGGUAAAACGUUAAGCAAAUAAAAGAGUAUAAAAUACUAAACUGAAACUAUAACUAAUUCACAACAUUCUGGGGGCCGCAAAAUGCAAUUACUGUUCAUGUAUUGUUCAUAAAAAGGGUUUGGAAAAAACACCUUUAACAAUUAAAGUUCAUAUUUCUAAUGGCACCAGUUUCACAAUUGGUCUC
rnacentral:lncRNA from 1 species